rnacentral:misc_RNA from 1 species
UCUCCGUAGGUGAACCUGCGGAGGGAUCACUACAGGCUUGCAAAAGCUCUGAAACCACUGUUUAUCUACCUGAAUCUGCUUCGGCGGGCGGCCCCAGGGCGGGGCCGUAGCCGCAAGGCGCCCGCCGAAGACCCCUAAACUCUGCCGUCUUGAGAAUCUCUGAGUAUCAUAUUAAACAGAAAACAACUUUCAACAACGGAUCUCUUGGCUCUG